rnacentral:rRNA from 1 species
UACGUAGGGGGCAAGCGUUGUUCGGAAUUACUGGGCGUAAAGGGCGCGUAGGCGGCACAGCAAGUCGGAAGUGAAAGCCCGGGGCUCAACUCCGGAACUGCCAUUGAAACUGUUAGACUUGAGGACGAGAGAGGUGAGUGGAAUUCCCAGUGUAGAGGUGAAAUUCGUAGAUAUUGGGAAGAACACCGGUGGCGAAGGCGGCUACACUGGCUCGUAUCUGACGCUCAGGCGCGACAGCGUGGGGAUCAAACAGG